rnacentral:tRNA from 1 species
ACUUUUAGUUAAAUUAUUUUAAAAAGUUUUGAAAACUUUUUUUUUGUGAGAUAUGGGCACAUAUAAUUU